UCUCGCUGUCAGAUUUUACUGUGUCAAAAAUUGCUUAGGCAUUCCAAUAGCUUACUUCUAUUUUGAUCCAUAUUCUCGUCCACUGGAAAAACAUGGGGGGCAUGGAUGGACAUCGUUGCUGGUUGGAGCCGUAUUUUGUGUGAGGGUACAUCUUCCAGGUUGCCUAUUUGCCAUGUUGUGUGCAAUCAAACUCCACCAGUGGGAGACAAGCCAAGCCUUAUGACCAUUCGUGAGGUUUGCAAUUUUUCGAGGAGUCAUAUAAGCUGCAACUGUUCUGCAGAUUUUGCCAUUUCGGUUUCAUGAUCUUCACAUUGAUUGAUUGCUAUAAUCAAGUUUUGUUUUCCAAAGGUUGUCGAUAAGUUUUUCCCUUUUAUUCUCCAUCAUAUUUACCAUAAAGUUGACAGCUUGAAACUCUUCUGUUAGGAGGGAAGCAAAUUUAGAAUUUCAAAUUAACCUUUUAAUUUUUCAAUCUUUCAGGCGCAUUUGCAGUUUUGCCUUUGUGUAAUGGAACAACUUGCACAAGCCAAUCUUCAAACACACACUUCAAAAUAACAAACCUAACCUAGUUACUCUUACAACGAAGCCCAAAAUGCUACACAUUGAGUAAACUCCAGUGAAUGUCCUUUGUUCGAUUCUUCUUCUUCAUCGUUUUUAUUCUUCAUUUCUUCUUUGAUUCUUCUUGGUUUUUUACAUUUUUUUUUCUUCUUUU